rnacentral:rRNA from 1 species
GGCAUGCCUAAUACAUGCAAGUCGAACGAGAUCUUCGGAUCUAGUGGCGCACGGGUGCGUAACGCGUGGGAAUCUGCCCUUGGGUUCGGAAUAACUUCUGGAAACGGAAGCUAAUACCGGAUGAUGACGUAAGUCCAAAGAUUUAUCGCCCAAGGAUGAGCCCGCGUAGGAUUAGCUAGUUGGUGGGGUAAAGGCCCACCAAGGCGACGAUCCUUAGCUGGUCUGAGAGGAUGAUCAGCCACACUGGGACUGAGACACGGCCCAGACUCCUACGGGAGGCAGCAGUAGGGAAUAUUGGACAAUGGGGGCAACCCUGAUCCAGCAAUGCCGCGUGAGUGAUGAAGGCCUUAGGGUUGUAAAGCUCUUUUACCCGGGAUGAUAAUGACAGUACCGGGAGAAUAAGCUCCGGCUAACUCCGUGCCAGCAGCCGCGGUAAUACGGAGGGAGCUAGCGUUGUUCGGAAUUACUGGGCGUAAAGCGCACGUAGGCGGCUAUUCAAGUCAGAGGUGAAAGCCCGGGGCUCAACCCCGGAACUGCCUUUGAAACUAGAUAGCUUGAAUCCAGGAGAGGUGAGUGGAAUUCCGAGUGUAGAGGUGAAAUUCGUAGAUAUUCGGAAGAACACCAGUGGCGAAGGCGGCUCA